rnacentral:rRNA from 1 species
GUCCAGACUCCUACGGGAGGCAGCAGUGGGGAAUAUUGCACAAUGGGGGAAACCCUGAUGCAGCGACGCCGCGUGAGCGAUGAAGUAUUUCGGUAUGUAAAGCUCUAUCAGCAGGGAAGAAGAUGACGGUACCUGACUAAGAAGCCCCGGCUAACUACGUGCCAGCAGCCGCGGUAAUACGUAGGGGGCAAGCGUUAUCCGGAUUUACUGGGUGUAAAGGGAGCGUAGACGGCGGCGCAAGCCAGAUGUGAAAGCCCGGGGCUCAACUCCGGGACUGCAUUUGGAACUGUGUGGCUGGAGUGUCGGAGAGGCAGGCGGAAUUCCUAGUGUAGCGGUGAAAUGCGUAGAUAUUAGGAGGAACACCAGUGGCGAAGGCGGCCUGCUGGACGAUGACUGACGUUGAGGCUCGAAAGCGUGGGGAGCAAACAGGAUUAGAUACCCUGGUAA